AGACCACAGUCCAGUCUGUGUUUCCCAUCCCCGAUGUGGGGAGAAGCCUGUCCAGACUGGUGAGUCAUUGCAGAACACCGGAUGACGAGGGUGUGCCGCGGAAACCCGUCUCCAUUCUACGGCUGCCUCAUGGAUGGGCCCUAUCCACUUCUGUAUUCACCAUGCUCUGUGGCCGAAGCCUCUAACGGGUUGAAUUAUGUCCCCCCAAAAAGAUAACCUUGAGUAUCUGUGAGUAUGACCUUAUUUGGAAAUAAGAUCUUUGCAGAUGUAACCAAAUUAAGAAGAGGUCAUCAGGGGGCAUGGUCGGUGCCCCGACAAAGAGAGGAGAAGCCACGUGACAAUGGUGGCCGGGAUUAGGUGACACGUCUCCACUCCAAGGAUGGUCCUCAGCAGCAGGAGCUGAGAGAAGGGCCUCGGACACACUCUCCAAAGGAGCCAGCCCUGCGGACACCUUGAUCUUGGACCUCUAAUCCUGGGUCUCCCCAACAGCGAACCCAACCAGAUGACAUUUGCCCCUGACUUCAUCCGUGAAUCCCCUCCCACCCCAUCAUUAGAGCGCGAUCACCCCAGGGAGUGGUCCACACGCCCAGGCAGUCUGGGAGUGGUACAAAAUGAGUGCCACCCUCGGUGAGCUCUUAACCCUACUCAGUCGACCUCUGUGCUCUGGACUCACCUCGUGGUUUCGGUCAUAAGAACGUAGAUAUCCUACAAUUUCUACCUUCUGAUUUUGUCUGUCUGCAGGGCUUUAGAGAUCUGUCCAUGUUCCCAAGAAGUAAUCGAUUUCGUCCACCCUGCUUCUGCUAACCACCCCUAGGAACUUUCCUACCGCUCAGCUCUGCCCACUGAGCCCGACUGUUUUGCCCCUUGGAGUCAGAUACAUACGGCGAUGUUGCCAAAGCGACGGUGGGUAAAAUUGGUUGGCGUGAAUUAAAGCCAUAGCACCAAACUGCGCUAGCCGUCCCUGUUUCUUCACCGAACACGUGCAGAAAUAAAGCAUCCAUUGCAGUUACGGAUGUCCUUCAUAAAGCGGCAAACAACACUCAUCUGAUGAGCUUUUGGAUCUUGAGUGCAUACCUCUUAAGAUCCUGCGUGAUGAAGUGGGAAGCACGGACAGCACUUCUGUCAUGCGCCAAAGUACAAUGGUUUCCGGAGGGGUCAUCCUUGUGCAGUUGUUUGGGUCGCACACUGAACCAGCCCCUUUACUCAUGAAACACAAAUUUUCCUUGGAAGGGUAGCAGAGAGUCGAGUGGUGAGUAUUCAAACUUGAGUGUUUUGCAGAUACUUAUGGAAUGUGAACUAGUAAAUAAUUGGCAGUAUUCGUUGUCAGUGAUAGGACUCAAGUUUUCAGAAUAAGAAUUAGAAUGUUGGAGGUCUUAUAUUUCUGUUUGGUUUGAACUUGCAUUUCCCUGUGGUUAAUGACAUUGGGCAUCUUCUUGUGCGCUUAUCUGCCACUUGUAAUAUGUCUUCUUCGUGUGAUGGCACAUUUUGCCCAUUUUUUGUCAUAUCGUUUGUUUUCUUCUUAUUGAAUUGUUGGAGUUCUUUAUAUAUUCUGGACACAAGUCGUUUAUGAGACAGAUGUUUGCAAAUAUUUUCCACCAGUCUCUGCAGCUUGUCU